GAAGUAGACGUGGAUUUGGGGAUUUGGGGAUGGCUAUAAUGGGUAUGGAGGAGGACCUGGAGGAAAUUAUGGAAAUGGAAAUUAUAAUGAUUUUGGAAAUUAUAACCAGCAAUCUUCUAACUAUGGCCCAAUGAAGAGUGGAAACUUUGGUGGUAGCAGGAACAUGGGAGGACCAUAUGUUGGAGGAAACUAUGGUCCUGGAGGAAGUGGAGGAAGUGGGGGCUUUGGUGGAAGGAGCCGGUGCUGAGCGUCUUCCUACUUACCAUGGGCUUCGCUGUAUAAAUUGGAGAGGAUGAGAGCCCAGAGGUAACAGAACAGCUUCAGGUUAUCAAAAUAACAAUGUUAAGGAAACUCUUAUCUUAGUCAUGCAUAAAUAUGCAGUGAUGUGGCAGAAGACACCAGAGCAGAUGCAGAGAGCCAUUUUGUGAAUGGAUUGGAUUAUU